rnacentral:rRNA from 1 species
UACAGAGGGUGCGAGCGUUGUUCGGAAUUAUUGGGCGUAAAGGGCGCGUAGGCGGUGCGGUAAGUCACCUGUGAAAUCUCCUGGCUCAACUGGGAGCUUGCAGGCGAAACUGUCGUGCUGGAGUGUGGGAGAGGUGCGUGGAAUUCCUGGUGUAGCGGUGAAAUGCGCAGAUAUCAGGAGGAACACCGGUGGCGAAGGCGGGUCUCUGGGCCGUAACUGACGCUGAGGAGCGAAAGCGUGGGGAGCGAACAGG